rnacentral:rRNA from 1 species
CCUACGGGGGGCAGCAGUGAGGAAUAUUGGUCAAUGGACGAGAGUCUGAACCAGCCAAGUAGCGUGAAGGAUGACUGCCCUAUGGGUUGUAAACUUCUUUUAUAUGGGAAUAAAAUGUUCCACGUGUGGGAUUUUGUAUGUACCAUAUGAAUAAGGAUCGGCUAACUCCGUGCCAGCAGCCGCGGUAAUACGGAGGAUCCGAGCGUUAUCCGGGUUUAUUGGGUUUAAAGGGAGCGUAGGUGGAUUGUUAAGUCAGUUGUGAAAGUUUGCGGCUCAACCGUAAAAUUGCAGUUGAAACUGGCAGUCUUGAGUACAGUAGAGGUGGGCGGAAUUCGUGGUGUAGCGGUGAAAUGCUUAGAUAUCACGAAGAACUCCGAUUGCGAAGGCAGUUCACUGGACUGCAACUGACACUGAGGCUCGAAAGUGUGGGUAUCAAACAGGAUUAGAUACCCUAGUAGUC